GUAGUUGUGGCCGAGUGGUUAAGGCGAUGGAUUAAAAAUCCAUUGGGUCUCCCCAUGGAGGUUCAAAUCCUGCCACCUACA